UCGCCGGGUGGCAGUUAUGGAGUGUGUGGUGGGAUCAGCCGGUCGCCCAAAGAAACGGAUGGAGACCGUAAAAGAUUUAUACUACAUUUACCUAUGCAUCUUUUUUUUAGAAAGAAUACCAGCGACCUGAAUAUUUUUCAUUUUUGUUCCAGUACUCGAGAUCAGCGACGCAUCGCCAAGUGUUCAAGAGACACGUCUGGCCGUUACACGAUCACAAGGAAGGCUGGGAUCACGCCAGAGCGGAGAAGAUGGCAUACUUCGCCUGGACAGGAAGCGUGGAAGCUACGUGCGAUAUUGUCAAACUCGACGACGAAUAUUACAAACACAAUGUCGCCUUUGGAGUUCAGAAGCAUUCGCCAUAUAAGCAAUUCUUCGAUUACCAGGUCUCGGUCUGCCCAGCGUGGUGUCGGCGCUGGCGCUACUGGCUGGCGGACACCUGCUGAGCCUGCUGGUACUGGUUGCUGAGCUGCUCUGGUGCUGGCGAGCUGCGAUCAGCAGACACCGACCGCUCAGAGCAACUACACGCCGUCCAACAAAACCGCCCAGAGUCCACCACAGCUCAGCAAUCGUCGUUCGGGACAAUAGCAUUGCUAUCUCUUGGAAAUUGGUAUCGAAGAACUGAGUGCCCACUGUGAUCUAAAUUCUAAAUGUGUCGCCAUGUUGAACCUUGUUUGCUUCGUUUAUGAGUUCUGUUUCGCACUGGCCAUGAUCGACGAAUGAUCAAACGUAGGUACACCA
rnacentral:misc_RNA from 1 species